rnacentral:lncRNA from 1 species
GUGCUCCUAAUUUCCACGGUUACGCGUUAUGGGUGAUUAAAACUGACAGGAGUGGACAGUGGUUCCAUGGCCAGGAUGGGCACGGGUUUGCUGACCAUUCCUCAGGAGUCAUCACACCAGGAAGCCGGGACAGGAACAAGAUGUGCCUCUGAGGGUUGUCGUGAGGGCCAAACAAGAUUCAGGAGUGCUAGGUGCUUCCUCCAGUCCUGAUGCUGUCCUUCCGGGAGCUCCAGCAUCCAUCUUGGACCACUGGCAGGAAGCACGCGCUGAGGAGGAAGGAGCAGCAAGCCUGGAGGAGGUGGAGCCCCUGACACAUGGACCGUCAUUCCAGUCCUGGGCUGCCCGCCCACAGACUCCCCUACAUGGAAGAAAAAUCAGCUUUUAUGUUGGGGUAUAUAUUUUAUGCACCUGAAUCGUAUCCAGCUCUAGGUAUUACUACAGCCUGCUGCCCCACUCCAUUUCGUCUUAGAACAGUUUG